rnacentral:rRNA from 1 species
AGCUCCAAUAGCGUAUAUUAAAGUUGUUGCAGUUAAAAAGCUCGUAGUUGGAUUUCGGGGCGGCCCGGCCGGUCCGCCGCAAGGCGAGUACUGGUCGGGCGCCCUUCCUCUCGAAGGCUUCGACUGCUCUUGAUUGCGGUGGUCGAGGAGUUCGGGACGUUUACUUUGAAAAAAUUAGAGUGUUCAAGGCAGGCCGUGGCCUGAAUACAUUAGCAUGGAAUAAUGGAAGAGGACCUCGGUCCUAUUUUGUUGGUUUCCAGGGCCGAAGUAAUGAUUGAGAGGGACAGUUGGGGGCAUUCGUAUUUAAUUGUCAGAGGUGAAAUUCUCGGAUUUAUGAAAGACGAACAAGUGCGAAAGCAUUUGCCAAGGAUGUUUUCA